ACGGAUGUCCGGCUACCUGAGUCUCCAAUAAACUGAUCGUAUCGUGGAAUCCACAAUCGGACGAUGUUUCCGCAAAUUCCGUGUUCGGAACCUUGUCGAGGUGACAUAAUGUUUUAUCGGACUGCGAGUCUAAAGUCGUCAUCGUUAUUGCACCGUGCGGCACGCAGUAAUUAACUUCUGCAAUUAAAGAGUUGCACCGUUCGCAAAGAUCUUAUCUUCGUUACGAACUCCCACUUCCAACGGUUACACAUAGAAGCUUACUCUAAUUGUCUUCGGCUGUUUUAUUUCCGCCUAUAAAUACAAAUACCAAUGGAUAUAGAAAACUCAGGACAUUACAGACAUAUUGCGAAUAUUAGGAAUUACGGUACUAUAGUGCAUGUGAUCUUUUCGACACGUUAGCGUUGGUAAAACAGAGUGGAACGUAAAAGAAACUUGAAAAAAUGUUCAUGCAACAAUUACAGCCUAAUAUUCACCGAGUUACAUUUAAGGAAAUUAUAGAAACUCAUCAAAAUAAAAUGUCUUGUAUUUCAUUUUUACAAAAAAUAAUUAAGCAUUGAUUUCUCUCAAUAUCAAUAUGUAUGGAUUUACUUUAAAACAAAAAAGGUUUUGCUAAAAGCAAAUAUACUAGUAGCUAUAAAA